UCAUGAACAACACUUUAAGAGUCAUCUAAAUAAAGAUAAUAGAUAGACAAACCUAACGACAAGAGUUGGAAAAUUGACUCAAAACCCGCAGGUUAAACCUGCCACUGAGCAUGUUUGAAUCAAACAAUUUUAAAUAUUUGAAAUGCGCGUGCAUGUUGAUUUAUUUUAUGCGAGGCAAGUGUAGGACGGCCGGAUUUAAGUUAUGAUACUUGCCCAUCAGUAAACUAAAAACUUUCAAAAAUAUAUAUUGAAUUAUAAAUAUUACUAAAUUAUUUUUAUAAAUAUUGAUAUAACAUGAUAAUCCCACGAUUAUUUCCUUUAGUUUAGCAAAAAAAAAAACAUGAUAAUCCCACGAGUCAUCCACAGAAUUAAAUAGUGCGGGUGCAUGUAAUAUUAUUUUCUCUGCAGGUGAAAUGUCAUUUGUUUAAUCAAAAAAUAUUUCAAGCCGUACCGAGGCAAAUUAUACCCGAUUUCCACUACGAAAAGUCCUUUAGUAACAUACACACCCAUACAAAAAAAAAAUAUCUUCCUUUCAUCUUUACUCCUUCAAGUUGAUUAAAACCCCAUACGAAGACAUUUCCUGUCUGUGUUAAAAGCAAAAAAAAAAAAACAUUUCUUUCUUGUCUUCUCAACUUCUUUCAAGGACCUUGUUGUAUCCAUUGUUCUAGGGAUUCUUCACAUUUGCCCUUCAGGUAGGUUUAUGCCGUGUCUAUGCCUCAUACCUGAACAAAAUCCAUAGAUAUUGGCACCAAAAACUAUUAACUAAACUGAAAUUAGACAAUGUGUUGAUCAUAAUCGCUAAUAACAAAAUUUGUUUAGCAAACCUAACAUAUCAUAAGCCUUGGCUCUUCUCCAAAGACUUUUGCAUGCCUUAUUUACAGGAUUAUGAAAGCAAAAUGCGCGCGUGGCGUCCCUUAUAGCAACCAAAAGCUGUUGAAGGAAGGGGCUUUGAAAGGGCUUAGCAACCGAAAUAAUGGUGUGAAAUUGGAUAACUAUAUGGGCCUUUUUUUGUUGAGUCUAGAAUGGGCGUUUAUACAAGGACACUUAGCCCACGUAAUACCCACGGGAUACAAAUACGGACGUACUCGCGUAACGGCGAUUCAACUCGUUGAUCGAGGAGAUGCUGGUUCAGUGGUUUGUAAACAUAUAUUCUCGAAUAAUCUUG
rnacentral:lncRNA from 1 species